GAGUUUGAUCAUGGCUCAGAUUGAACGCUGGCGGCAUGCCUUACACAUGCAAGUCGAACGGCAGCGCGGGGCAACCUGGCGGCGAGUGGCGAACGGGUGAGUAAUAUAUCGGAACGUACCCUGGAGUGGGGGAUAACGUAGCGAAAGUUACGCUAAUACCGCAUACGAUCUAAGGAUGAAAGUGGGGGCUUCGCAAGAACCUCAUGCUCCUGGAGCGGCCGAUAUCUGAUUAGCUAGUUGGUGGGGUAAAGGCCCACCAAGGCUUCGAUCAGUAGCUGGUCUGAGAGGACGACCAGCCACACUGGAACUGAGACACGGUCCAGACUCCUACGGGAGGCAGCAGUGGGAAUUUUGGACAAUGGGCGCAAGCCUGAUCCAGCAAUGCCGCGUGAGUGAAGAAGGCC
rnacentral:rRNA from 1 species